GCUUUUGUUGCGCAAUGGAUAGCGCGUUGGACUUUUAAUCCAAAUGCCGUGGGUGGGAAUCCCACCUGGGAUG